rnacentral:lncRNA from 1 species
UAUUACUCAUUUUGUUUCAAAUGUAGCUUGAAGAAGGAGAAAAAGAUUUUGUUCGGAGCCAAGAAUUCAAAUACUGCAUGCAUAAGUAAGUUCGCCAUUUCUUUAUGAAUUUUUUUUUUUUGAUUACAUGAGACUAAUGCUCAAACUACAACUCAUAUUACAUGAGACUAUAACUGAUAUUUACAAAUCAGACUAUUACUAGGACCAACUUACAUCAAUGUUAAUGGAGCUCUGCCCAGAUUUUAACCCUCAUAAAUAUUCGAGGGAUGUCUACUCCUCACUCUUGGGUAAGGAAAUAAACUACCUUCACUCAAUUUUUAAUUGAGGAAGGAAUACCCCCACAAUGCAUUUGUGGGGGUUCGAACUGCUGCCCUCCAACUUGGAGGGCAGCAGCCCUGACCACUCGGCCCAAGGCCGAGUGGCUCAUUUCUCUAUGAAUUUGAUAUGGCAGAAAUAGUAUUUUAAUUCACUCGGUAUCAAAAUUUUAUAUGGAAGUGAUAUAUAUUCCUUGUCGUGUAACUUGAUGCUGAGAAGCUUUGUGGAAGCUGUAUCUAGAAAUUUUCUCACUGUAUCACAUCUGGUUAUGAUGAACCCGAGCUGAAGCUUGUACCAAGGGAUAGAGGGGAUUGUGGGGAAAAGUUAAGAGGACGAGCAUUCUGAAGCUGUGUUUCUCAUCCAAUAAGAGCAAAACUAUUCUCAUCCAAUAAGAGCAAAACUAUGGUAUAGUGAAGUGCUAGGUAGAAUUCAAUGAGGGAUAUAUGCUUAUGGAACCUAAGUUCUGUUAUGAUGACUACAACCAAAGACAUGGUAGCCUAAAUGAGUGUGAUUUAAUAGAUGAAAGUGAUGAGACGAGAAGACAGACAGAAUUUAGAUGUGCUUAUUAGUAAUUAAGGCCAUUUAGGUUUAUGAUGGUAUGGGAACGUCUGGAGAGAUGCUUUUUAAAAUACAAUCAAACAAUUAGUUCACUGUGAAUAAGAUGGUAGACAGUGAAGGGCUCUAGGGACGAAGGAGACAAAACUGACAACCAUGGAAGUUAUAACACUUUGACAGGAGAUAUAACACUGGAUAUAAUUCUGCAAGUACAUAGUAGCGAAUAAAGGUUCAAAUUGAUUCUGCGGUGGUGGGAAGAGGAAGAAUCCCAAACAUAAUACGCAAAAGUAGAGUUAGAUGAUAACAGAGGAACAUGCUUUAGAUCUUAUAUGCAAUUGGCUUUUGUAGUUAAUAGUGAAAAUUGUCAAUUGGAGAUGGAUUGUGGUUAGAGACUUUGUAGGGAUCCUAUCUCUUGCUAUUCUUUUCCCCUGUAUGUACAAUCAUUUUUUAAUUGGAUAGAACUUCUACCGGUAAGUUCAUUGUCU